rnacentral:rRNA from 1 species
ACACGACUACAUUAGAUACCCGUGUAGUCCUAGCCGUAAACGAUACUCGCUAGGUGUCGGCCACGGUGCGACCGUUGUCGGUGCCGUAGGGAAGCCGUGAAGCGAGCCACCUGGGAAGUACGGCCGCAGGGCUGAAACUUAAAGGAAUUGGCGGGGGAGCACCACAACGGGUGGAGCUUGCGGUUUAAUUGGAUUCAACGCCGGAAAUCUUACCGGGACCGACAGCAACAUGAAGGCCAGGCUGAAGACUUUGCCGGAUUAGCUG